UGGGCAGCCUGCUCGCCCAGGGCUCGCCCUUCCUCUGUCUUGACAGGGUCUCCGCCUCACCCUCCUCUCCUGCCUCUUCCUCCUCUGUCUCUGUGAUCCCAAGGCCACCAAGAAAUCUCUCCAUGUCGACCUGAGCCCCCUGCAGACCUCCUUGUGCCAUGUGAGGCACAUUCUCCAGCUUUAACAUGGGCCACCACCAGAAUGCCUCCCAGUGACAGUCCUGGCAGGGACCGCCUCCAGUGUUCUGAGCACUUAGGGAUUCUGGCCAUCCUGCUCAUGGUCCAAGUGGUGGCCUUUUACAGAGGCCGAGCUUCAGCCUCCCGACAGACUCCAGCUGAGCCCGGGCCACCACCCAGUGCAGCAGACAGAGCCGGACCUCCCACGUGUGCGGUAACAGGCUGCACCAGGCAGUGCCGGGCCACAGGAGACCACUUGUCCCUCUGUUUGGAAAGGUUAGGAAGAUUUCCCAGAGGGGGGGACAUUUAAGCGGAGACUUGAAGGUGAAGAAUGA
rnacentral:lncRNA from 1 species